rnacentral:lncRNA from 1 species
CAUGAGAUAUUUCUUUAAUAUGUAAAUAUAUUCAACAAUACAAUAAGCUGUUUGAGACUAACUAUUUUUACAGUUGAUAAUCGCCAUGUUUAAACCUAAAUUAACCACAACCUAUAAGAGUUUCAUCAAUCUUGGUAGUGGUUAGACAAAUUCAUGUAAACCACGAAUUCUACGUUUAGGAAGAGGUGGGAGAUUAGACAAUCUCACAAAAUUAUCAUUACUGACAUCACAAGAUUUCUUGCAGGAAAAAGUUAUCUUCUUCUUCCUUGAUAAUUUGGAGCUACCAGUGCUUUCCUUAGCUUCACUUGACAAGUGCUUCAUAUUUCCCCCAGAUUUGGUGCACUCUUUAUAGGCCAGAAGAAAAGGGUCCUCUUGCCACCACUUCAAGCCGCCUUUCCCGGAAGGGCUCCCCUUCAGUUGUACAGAUAAUGGAGGAGGAGGUGGAACUUUCUUUUCAAGAACCAAAAUGCUGGACGAGCCACUAGGAUCAGAAACAUAAUUUUUUUGGUUCAAGUCAUAUAACUCUAAACCAAUGGGACAGUCUUGAUCAUAAUGGUUGACCUUGGGCUCGGACUUGGAGACCCCUGGCUUGUCCUCCCAAGAAAGGGUAUACUUCCUUCC